AUCGAGGUUAAAGGUACCCGUACCGCAAACCGACACAGGUGGGUGAGGAGAGUAUCCUAAGGCCAGCGAGAGAACUGUUGUUAAGGAACUCGGCAAAAUGACCCCGUAACUUAGGGAUAAGGGGUGCCACCAUCAGGUGGCCGCAGAGAAUAGGCCCAAGCGACUGUUUACCAAAAACAUAGGGUUCUGCUAAGUCGCAAGACGAUGUAUAGGAGCUGACGCCUGCCCGGUGCUGGAAGGUUAAGGGGAUCUGUUAGAGCAAUCGAAGCAGGGAACUUAAGCCCCAGUAAACGGCGGCCGUAACUAUAACG
rnacentral:rRNA from 1 species